ensembl:lncRNA
GAUAAGAUGGGUGCACUCCCUCAGAUAAACGGACUGAUUUGCUUUUGCCUUUCUUAACAGGAAAUGUGUUCAUUGCCCUGAAGAAUGUGGGAAAACGUGCAGCCCUCUGAAGAUUCCCUUGUGCAGCUCUGGGACUGGCCUGGCUGGAUUUUCUGUUGCUUACUUUAUAAAUACAUGAAAGGUACAUGUUCUGAGGGAUGGGAGGACUUUUUAAGUGCCAGAUGUGCAGCCUUCAUCCCUGACAGCUGAGAGCCUGGUUCAUUUUCCACAUACUUCUUCUUCCUAUAAUAUUCCUGAGACUGAAUAGGACUUUGACUCCCAUUUUUUCAGUGCAGAGGUAGGAAAUGCUGAGCCAAAUUCAGUGAGGAUGCCUGUGGACAGAGGAUAAAGUGGAGGUCUGGUCUCCCAAGUGUUUUUUGACUCCCUGAAAGCAACCCUAUCAGUUAGGAC